AUUAACGCUGGCAGAGUGCAUAACACAUGCAAGUCGAGCGGACUUAUCUGAGAUUACAUCAACUGGUAAGUUAGCGGCAGACGAGUGAGUAACACGUAAGCAAUCUACCCCCGAAUGGUGAACAACCAGCCGAAAGGUUGGCUAAUACACCGUACUAUCCCCGGAAGGCAUCUUCUGGGGCUGAUAGCCGUAAGGCGAUCGGGGAGGAGCUUGCGUCCCAUCAGCUAGUUGGCGGUGUAACGGACCACCAAGGCUAUGACGGGUACCCGGCCUGAAAGGGCGGACGGGCACGAAGGCACUGAGACACGGGCCUUACUCCUACGGGAGGCAGCAGUGGGGAAUUUUGGACAAUGGGCGAAAGCCUGAUCCAGCAACUCUGCGUGAGGGACGAAGCCUUUCGGGGCGUAAACCUCUUUUGUUAGGGACGAACACCCGCAAGGGUCUGACGGUACCUGACGAAUAAGCCACGGCUAACUAUGU
rnacentral:rRNA from 1 species